rnacentral:lncRNA from 1 species
GACAUUGUUUGUUUGUUUAUUUAGGAGGCGGCUUGGUCUUCAACCUCGGUGAUGGCUUUGGUUGCAGUUCCCUUCUCGGCCAGCAGAUCAGUGUACUCCUGGUACGGUGACUUUUUAAAGCUCGUCUCUUUCCAGAACUCUGGUGUCAGGAAUCCAUAAGUCUUCUGGAGACAGUCGAAUGUAGCCUACAAAAAUACAAUUACACAUGAUUAACCAAUGAAUGAUUCAAAAAUACUGAACAAACAUUUAAUUGUUCUUCAAAGGAAGAAAACAAACAUUUAAAAGUUCUUACAAAGCAAUACAUGGAAAAUACUAAAAAAACAUAUCACCAGCUCGUCUGUGAAAAUUCAAGUGAAAUGAUGUUAUACAUGUAUAAACUAAGAUUAUAAUGUAAUCUCAAAUUUAGCAAUAAACACAACCAAAUCAUUAAGAUUAAUCAUAGAAACUUGUGAUUUAGUAAUAAACACAACCAAAUCAUGAAGAUUAAUCAUAGAAACUUGUGAUUUAGCAAUAAACACAAACAAGUCAAUAAACACAAAAAUGAUGAAUAUGUACAAACGACUUCAAAGCUUUGUGAUUUAGCAAUAAACACAAACAAAUUAUAAUUCAGACAGCUCAAUACAACACAAACAAAUCAUUAUUAACAGUCAGCUUACCAAUUCUUACUUCCAUCAACUACAUCAAGCUAAAUUAACCAAAACAACUCACACGAAACGAUCAAUAAAGCAUCAAAUUUAAGCUUCUAAUUUAGCAAUAACACAAACAAAUCAUCAUUUAACACAGACAGCUUAUUCAAACUAAUCAAGCUUAGCAAUUCUCACUUUACAUCAACUACAACAAGCUAAAUUACCCAAAACAACUCCACACGCAACGAUCAAAAAGGAAUCAACUUUCAAUCUAUACACAACUCCAAACACCAAGUAAAGGAAUAAAGUUCAAACCUUUACGAAGUUUCCAAGAGUCUUAGUAGACCCCCUCGACGAAGUAAACACAUCAUCAAUCCCAGCGAACUGAAGCACCUUCUUAGGAACCCUAGCCGCCACAAUCCCCGCACCCCUCGGAGCCGGCACCAUCCUCACCGUAACGGACCCACACUUCCCCGUAACCUUACAAGGAACCGUAUGCGGCUUCCCAAUCUUGUUCCCCCAGUACCCUCUCCUCACGGGAAUAACCGACAGCUUCGCCAAUAUAAUCCCACCUCUGAUCGCCGUCGCCACCUCCUUGGAG